UUAUACUGCAGAGACAGUUACCUUGUGCAUGUGUGUAGGGUUCUAGUUCAGGUGGUGAAGUGACUUUACCCGGUUUGGUACCAUUGGUGACCCGACCGGCUCCUUUAAGAGGUGCAGGAAUGCACUCACUCGUACCUGAUCAGCAAGACGACACACAUGAUACCAGCAGAUAUAGGAAGCAGAAAGCAGUUGCCUCUCUCUUGCGUGGAGUUCAGAGUGACUUCAACUUCAGGCAGAUCAGAGGAUCUUCCAGCCACUACAUGACAGCGCUGCAGCAGAGCGGAUACAGAGUUCUCUCCACUUUCCCUAACGCUGAUCCUGAGACCAGUGAAUCUCUGUUAGCGGAGCAUGUGUGUGUGUUCCGGAGCAGCUGGGAGGAGAUGACCGAGUCUGUCCCUCCCGUGCUGCGUUCAUCAUCAUGGGGCCUGAUGUGCCGCUGCUCAAUGAUUACAAGCAGGAGUUCUUUUGGAAGCGUUUCCCGCAGACUGUCUUGGGGGGGCCGCGGCUGAAACUCAGCUACUGUGCCCCGGCGUAUGUUUAUCUGCACCAGCUGGUGUUAUUUCUGACACCAUGGCUGUUGGGAGGCAUCGGGACCCUCCUGUACCAGCUGAGGGUGCUGGAUGAAGCCUUUGCAGGUGUUGUUUCCGGUGUGCUGAUGCUGGGUGUUGGUGCCACCCUUCAGGGACUGGCACAGUGUAUGGCACACAGGAGCGGAGUGGUACAAAGGCUGCCUGCUGCCAAUAACAUCCUUGCAGAU
ensembl:lncRNA